AAAAAAGUGAAGCCGCCUCCUCACAGUAUCAGGGUGGAGUAUUUCCUGGUGGCAGCAGCCGCACAGAAGAAGCCCGCACUUAGAGACACAAGCAUGCACGGCCGAGUCGAGCCGGAAACGCUCUGAGCGAAGCGGCUGACUCCACACACACCAAGCAGUCCAUGAUCGGCCAGCUGGAAGCUCCCGCAUGGCUGUGAGCACAAAUCACGAGCUACAGCACGCACGAUGGCAGAGGGGCAGAUGGGUUUCCUGUUUCUGGAGCUCAUUUACCACUUCCUUUUACGGCGGAAACCUGCAGCUUUGAGUCUCUGCUGACUUCACCCAGGACCUCGGAGGCCCCUAGACCUCAGUUUGAGAACUAGUGAGGGGGAGGAGCUGCUGGUUUGGUAAAAUACUAUUUCAAGAUUU